GCCUGGCCCUAAAUCUUGAUGCUCGAUAUUACCUGAGCGUCCGCCCGAGAACUACGAGCACAAACGCUUAAAACUCUAAGGACUUGGCGGUGUUCCAAACCCACCUAGAGGAGCCUGUUCUGUAAUCGAUGAUCCACGAUAUUACCUGACCAUUCCUUGCACGAAACAGCCUAUAUACCGCCGUCGCCAGCCCACCUUUCCUGACAGCCCAACAGUGGACGCAAUAGCCUAACCCGCUAGCAAGACAGGUCAAGGUAUAGCCUAUGGAAUGGAAGCAAUGGGCUACAUUUUCUAGACUAGAACACACGGAAAGGGGUAUGAAAUUGCCCCUGGAAGGCGGAUUUAGCAGUAAAGAGGGACAAUCGAGCCCUCUUUAAGACGGCUCUGGAGCACGU
rnacentral:rRNA from 1 species